rnacentral:tRNA from 1 species
GCGCAAUUAGCUCAGUGGUAGAGCGCUUCGUUGACAUCGAAGAGGUCGGAGGUCCGAUCCCUCCAUUGCGCACCA